rnacentral:rRNA from 1 species
AUGGAGCUGUUCCAGGACGGCCACCACGUGCGGCUGCGGAGCCGCGAGCGCGGCACGUACCUGCACGCCGACGACGACGGGCUUGCCGUCUCCCUCAGCCGGCGCCGCGCGUCGAUGAACACGGCGUGGGCGGUGCACAUCUACCAAGGCGAUGGCAAUGCCCAGUACGUGCUCCUCCACAGCGCUGCCUACGGCCGCUACCUCGGCGCCACGGACGCGCCGGCGCCGCGAGGCCACAGCGGGCGCCGCGUCGAGCAGUGCGAUUACGAGCCGUGGGAGGAGGAGGCCAUCAGGUGGCAGGCCGUCAGGAUCGGCUCGGGGGACGAUAUCCUGCUCCGCCAGGUCGCCGGCCGCCUCCGCGCCAACGGGAGGUACCUCAGCGUCGACGCCUUCAACAGCGCCGGCGCGAUGAUGCACUGGGUCGUGGAGCAGAUCCCCGCAAGGGAGGACACGCCUCACCUUGCAGCUCCGACUGGGCUCCGCCUCCCCAGAAGCCUCUCCUUCCUGUUGCCGUGGCGGGUGAUCCAGUACCAGCAGGCCGGCGCCGACGAGCCCGACGCAAUCUUCGCCUGGGCCUCACUCGUAUUCAGGGGCAGGUCCGCGUACCACCUGAGGAAGAAGCUGGCCCGCCGGCUGGAUGCGGCCAUGGACGCCUCCAACCUCGUCAUGUGCGUCCGAGCGGGUACGCACGGGCGGCCUACCCCACUGGUCGUCGAUCUGCCCCACAGCGACGAGACCCUCGACAUCAUCGUCGUCAUGGCCGGGACGCCAGCCCAUGCAGACCUGCGGUACCCGAAUGUCAAUGCAGAGUAG